rnacentral:rRNA from 1 species
CCGACGGGUGAGUAACACGUAUGCAAUCCACCUGUAACAGGGGGAUAACCCGGAGAAAUCCGGACUAAUACCCCAUAAUAUGGGCGCUCCGCAUGGAGAGCCCAUUAAAGAGAGCAAUUUUGGUUACAGACGAGCAUGCGCUCCAUUAGCCAGUUGGCGGGGUAACGGCCCACCAAAGCGACGAUGGAUAGGGGCUCUGAGAGGAAGGUCCCCCACAUUGGAACUGAGACACGGUCCAA